UGGGAACAUUGCCACUUCAAAGAGAUUCUA
rnacentral:piRNA from 1 species